UACGAAGGGGGCUAGCGUUGUUCGGAAUCACUGGGCGUAAAGGGCGCGUAGGCGGCUUUAUAAGUCGGGGUGAAAGCCUGUGGCUCAACCACAGAAUUGCCUUCGAUACUGUAGAGCUUGAGACCGGAAGAGGUAAGUGGAACUGCGAGUGUAGAGGUGAAAUUCGUAGAUAUUCGCAAGAACACCAGUGGCGAAGGCGGACUUACUGGUCCGGUUCUGACGCUGAGGCGCGAAAGCCAGGGGAGCAAACGGG
rnacentral:rRNA from 1 species